rnacentral:rRNA from 1 species
UACGGGGGGGGCAAGCGUUGUUCGGAAUUACUGGGCGUAAAGGGCUCGUAGGUGGCCAACUAAGUCAGACGUGAAAUCCCUCGGCUUAACCGGGGAACUGCGUCUGAUACUGGAUGGCUUGAGGUUGGGAGAGGGAUGCGGAAUUCCAGGUGUAGCGGUGAAAUGCGUAGAUAUCUGGAGGAACACCGGUGGCGAAGGCGGCAUCCUGGACCAACACUGGCGCUGAGUGAGCGAAACCCAGGGGAGCAAACGGG